rnacentral:rRNA from 1 species
UGGGGAAUUUUCCGCAAUGGGCGAAAGCCUGACGGAGCAAUACCGCGUGAGGGAGGAAGGCCCUUGGGUUGUAAACCUCUUUUCUCAGGGAAGAAGAAAUGACGGUACCUGAGGAAAAAGCAUCGGCUAACUCCGUGCCAGCAGCCGCGGUAAUACGGAGGAUGCAAGCGUUAUCCGGAAUGAUUGGGCGUAAAGGGUCCGUAGGUGGUGAUGUAUGUCUAUUGUCAAAGG